GCCCCCAUAGCUUAGUGGCAGAGCAGUAGUUUUGUAAACUAUAGACGCUGGUUCGAUUCCUGCUGGGGGCU
rnacentral:tRNA from 1 species